GAUGAAGAACGUAGCGAAAUGCGAUAAGUAAUGUGAAUUGCAGAAUUCAGUGAAUCAUCGAAUCUUUGAACGCAUCUUGCGCUCCUUGGUAUUCCUUGGAGCAUGCCUGUUUGAGUAUCAUGAGCAAAUCUCAAAGUCAAUUCCUUUUGUUGAUUCAAUUGGUUUUGCUUUGGACUUGGAGGCCUUGCAGAUUUCACAGUCUGCUCCUCUUAAAUGCAUUAGCUGGAUCUCAGUAAUUAUGCUUGGUUCCACUCGGCGUGAUAAGUAUCACUCGCUGAGGACACUGUUAAAAAGGUGGCCAGGAAAAUACUGAUUGAACCGCUUCUAACGGUCUAUUAAGUUAGACAAUUACCCUUAAGUUUGAUCUCAAAUCAGGUAGGUCUACCCGCUGAACUUAAGCAUAUCAAUAAGCGGAGGA
rnacentral:misc_RNA from 1 species